rnacentral:rRNA from 1 species
GACGAACGCUGGCGGCGUGCUUAACACAUGCAAGUCGAACGGAGUGUCGAACGGGUGAUUAACACGUUGGUGAUCUGCCUUGCACUUCGGGAUAAGCUUGGGAAACUGGGUCUAAUACCGGAUAGUGCAAGAUGAGCUCGUGGCCUAUCAGCUUGUUGGUGGGGUAAUGGCCUACCAAGGCGUCGACGGGUAGCCGGCCUGAGAGGGUGUACGGCCACAUAGGGACUGAGAUACGGGCCGGACUCCUACGGGAGGCAGGAGUGGGGAAUGAUGCAAAAGGGGCGGAAGCCUGAUGGAGGGACGCCGGGUGGGGGAUGAAGGCCUUCGGGUUGGAAACUCCUUUGGACAGGAACGCGGUACAUGUAUAAGAAGCACCGGCUAACUACGUGCCAGCAGCCGCGGUAAUUC